UAUUUCUUAUUUUGGCUUUAUACUAUGUCUGCUCUUUCUUUUGUAUUAGAAAAAUGUACUCAUGUGAGUUGCCACUGGGACUCACACGGGUGGCUCUAUCAAUGUAGGGGAGCAUCGCAAGAGACUUUAAUCCGAAUUUAAAAAGUGUGCCUAGCUUGAAGAUAGCAGUUGGUUGAAGGAAUUUUAGUUGUGUUUCUUUUAGACUUAAAGGUAGGAACUCAAUCUUGAUGCUACAUGAAUUGGCAGUACAUGAACGCUACAUUACCACAUAUAUAAUUGGAAAUUUCGAGAUGCUUUGUCUCUUCAGAAGGGGAUAUGAGGCAAAAAUAGUUGGUUGUAGUUGUAGAUACGAGACAUGGAUGGAAAUCAAUGUUUUUGGUUCACAAGUCAAAGAAGAGCAGAUGGGGUGAUUGAAGAAUUCAUGAGUUAUAUUAUGAAUGAACAGAGACUAAUAUUUUCUCUAUGUUAUUUUCAAUCUCAAUUGUACACAAAAAUUUCUUUUGCCAAUCUUCUGAAUUGAGUAACUUUUGUAUAGGCUGUUGAAAAGGGUCGAGAUCCAACACAAAGUGAGAUGCAUUUGCACGUCCAUACACAUGGUCAUGAUGGAACAUCUUUUGUUGGUAAGAAAUCCCAAAUCGUACAUGAAAAAUAUCAGGAAAUAUUACAACAAAAAACAUUGACUCAGUCUGAUGUUGAUCAGUGUCAAGCAUAUUAUCAAGCCGCGGGAGGAGAAAGAAAAGAAAAGUAUAUAGUCUUGGAUCUCAAGCAAAAUGCUAGUAUGGGCAGAAUCUCUGUGAUUCUUUCGGAUUCGAUGCUACAUCUUCAGGAGCACCUCCGAUUGCUCAAUCAACACCAACAGGAAAUCUGGAUGAGUUUGAGAUGCGUUUGAUUCCUGUAUUGACAGAGCAUAUUGUUCCUGUGAUCAUUGGAGUUUGUGAUGCGUUUGAUUCCUGUAUUGACAGAGCAUAUAAUUCCUGUGAUCGUUGAGCGGGUACGAGGAUUAGUUUCUUCGCCCUCGCAUCAGCCAAAUAUUGAUCUUACCAACCACCCAUCAGUUGUGACACUUACAGUUCCUACCUCUCCUGCUGCUAACUUUGAUGAGGUUCAUGCAUUGGGUUCUGAUGAUUAAAGAAUGGAAUUCCACUACCCCUGCAAGGUAACCCGAACCUGGAACUGAUGGAUGUUGUUGAUAUGCCAUAACCCACUACCCAAUUUGAUUAGAAGAUGCAGGAGGACUAAAGGAAUAUUGCUUAGACCAGGAAAUAGUUAGCCUAUUUUGUUUGACCCGUGAGACUCCAGCCUCACGAUAGUUAGCCUAUUUUGUUUGGAUUUGGUGGUGUUUAUGGAUGGUUUGUACUUAACGGAAUAUUGCUUAGACCAGGAAAUAGUUAGCCUAUUUUGUUUGACCCGGGACACUCCAGCCUCACAAUAGUUAGCCUAUUUUGUUUGGAUUUGGUAGUGUUUGUGGAUGGUUUGUACUUAACGAUACAAUUAUAUGCAUUAUGCUUUAUCCUUUGGACC